CAUACAUACAUACACACAUACAUACAUACAUACACACAUACAUACACACAUACACACAUACACACAUACACACAUACACACAUACACACAUACACACAUACACACAUACACACAUACACACAUACACACAUACACACACACACACAUACACACAUACACACAUACACACAUACACACAUACACACAUACACACAUACACACAUACACACAUACACACAUACACACAUACACACAUACACACAUACACACAUACACACAUACA